rnacentral:rRNA from 2 species
GGGCAACCCUGAUCCAGCCAUGCCGCGUGAGUGAAGAAGGCCUUCGGGUUGUAAAGCUCUUUCGGCCGGGAAGAAAUCGUGCAGGCUAAUACCCUGUAUGGAUGACGGUACCGGAAUAAGAAGCCCCGGCUAACUACGUGCCAGCAGCCGCGGUAAUACGUAGGGGGCAAGCGUUAUCCGGAUUUACUGGGUGUAAAGGGAGCGUAGGUGGUUCGGCAAGUCAGAUGUGAAAGCCCGGGGCUCAACCCCGGGACUGCAUUUGAAACUGUCGGGCUAGAGUGCAGGAGAGGUAAGUGGAAUUCCUAGUGUAGCGGUGAAAUGCGUAGAUAUUAGGAGGAACACCAGUGGCGAAGGCGGCUUACUGGACUGUAACUGACACUGAGGCUCGAAAGCGUGGGGAGCAAACA